UGUAAAAUUCAGCACAGAAUUAAAACUCAACAGCACAGACCAGCCCAUCUUUACUGCUAUUAACAAUGUACUUACUGCUGAAACACAUAAAUAGAAUGUGCAGCAAAACAAGGCAUUAAAAUGUUGUUUAGAUUCUUCUCCCGGAGCACCAAUAAAGCUUUACUAAUAAACUAUUUUUUUAAGAUGGACUAAAAAUACCCGUGUCUUUCAGUUACAUUCCAGAAAUCAAUAGGAAGAAAGGUAAAUUAGUGCCCCUUCUCUGAUAUCCCUGCUAUUAUGGUCUUGGUGGGGUCAAAUUACUUUAAUUAGAUUUUCAAAAAAUAUCACAUGGCUUCUGUAUGAUUUCCCUGGCUGUUUAUGCACCUCCCCAGCUUUUAAAAUCCAUUUCCAGGAGAUCAGUCAUUGAUUUUGAGGAGAUUUAAUAACCCAGUGGUAACUGUAUAAUCACCUGCAGCUGCCAUGAUUGCACUGGUUAGACUUUCUAAUGGCUAUAAGCAGAAAGUCAAUAUUUCCAGCAAAAAUAUGCACAUGUUCACAACCUAGUCCCAUAAAAUCAUCUGGACUUCUGAAAAUGUGCAUCUGCUUCAGAAUGUCAGUUCAGCUCCCAGGUGUGCUUUCAAAGCAAAUUCCUCAUCCCUACUCACUGAGAUUCAGUUCACACUGGGGGAAUCCACACAAUGUGAGAGCAGAGGUGGAAAAAUCUGACAUCACUCUGUGUGUGUGUGUGGUGUUUGUGAGGGUCCCAGGAUAAGAGAAGAGAUGAAUCUGACUCCAUUAUUCUCAGAAGGCUGAUUUAUUACGUUAUGAUAUUAUAUCAUAUUAAAAGAAUGCUAUACUAAAACUAUACUAAAGAAAGAGAAAAGGAUACCUCAGAAGGCUUAACAAGAAUGAAUAAUAAAAAUCUGUGACUGACUCCUCAGAGUCCGAGACAGCUGGCUGUGGUUGGUCAUUAAGUUAAAACAAUUCACAUGGAACUAAUCAAACAAUCACCUAUUACAUUGCAAAGCAGCAAAACACAAGGAGAAGCAAUCAGAUAAUUACUGUUUACAUUCCUCUCUGAGGCUUCUCAGCUUUCCAGGAGAAGAAAUCCUGGCAAAGGGAUUUUUCAGAAAAUAUCAUGUACACAAGCCUGAUUUCCAUUGUGAUGAUAACAUGGCUUCCCAGUUCCUGUAAUUGCUCCAAGUCCUGCAGUUUGGUCUAAGAAGUGGAUUUACACAAAAGGAAGCCUUCUCUGUACUAAAAAAAGUCCUUAUUCCCAAUGGAUAUUUAAGAAAAAUAUGGAAAUAUGACAUUGAAACAGUUCAGUUCCUGGGUUCAAAACUCUGCUGCAAACGCAGCCCUCAUGGGUGUCCCAAGACUGAUCAGAGCACAUGUGGCAUCCCUGCACUGAGGGUGACACAAACAUGACCUUGAACCUGCUGUGGGGCCAUCUGAACAGAUGAAAAUAACAUCCCAGCAUCUGAACUGUGCCCCAUGGAACAUCUUGAGUGGGGCAUCUCAAAUCUGCUCACUUCUGACUUCUGGAGGAUCUAGGCUGCCAGUGGUUGCAGUGAAAAGCAAAGUGCACACAAAACCUGCCCAUGUCUGUCAGGUUGCUGACCAGGAGGGUGUCUGGGUCUCAGAUGAUUCAGAAGCAGAUGGGAACCCAGUGGGUGGAUAAAUGCAAAGCUCACCUUCAAUGAGCACUUGACAAAGAAAGGUCAGAAAUGAAACAGGAGAAAAGUCACAAGUGAAAGGGAGCGAGUGCCUGGUGACACCAGGGAGGAUGAAACUGUCUUUUCUCCACAGAUAGACUGUUUCAUAUAAUAAUUUACCUAUCAACAUCUGUUCAGUUUUUAAACUACUUUAAUACUGACUGACAUUUCCUUUAAAUUGUAACUUGUGCAAUUUAAUGAUAACCUUUAAUUUCCUUCUACCUGUGUAAAGGGAAGAAGCAAAAAUAGUAAGAACUAAAUUGCAUACAUUAGAAAUAAUUCCUAUCAGAACAAGGUAAAGAAGUGCAUUCAGACACUAUAAUGUGUGAGAAAUUUAGAUGACUUUCAACAUUCUCCUUCCUACAAUAACUGCUGUUUGGCGCUAAUUUGUGCAUGAUUAAUAUCUUUAUUAUUGUAUCAUGGAAGAUCUCUUCUACACUAGACUGGAGACCUAAUUUUUAGAAACUUUAAGAAUUUUGAUGUCCUGAUGAUUAGUGGGAACUGAAAUCUCGGAGCUUUCUUAUACAAGAUCAGAAUUGUUAUGAGUGUGACACGUUGGCCAGAGCUGCACUGGCUUCACCUCUGCAGCUGGCACCACGAGUGGGUCACACCCCGGGAGCAGGAUGACCCAAGGUGAGGCUAGAGAAAUUGCUCUAUGGCCUUUUUGGCUGUUUGGGGAGGCAAGGACAAGGGGGAGGCCUUUUGCAUAGGAUAAAAGAGGAUUUAUCACUCUGGGGAAUCUGGGGGCAAAAGAAAAAAAGGCAAGGCUGCAGUAACUUAAAUAUGGGGGAAGUUCAUAGGGAAGGUACAAAUCAUCAACUAAUCAGGGCUAUCCUGGGGAGGAGUAAAAGGCAGGGUUCAGAAAAACAUCAUCCAGUGAGGGAAGUAGCAGGGCAGGAUUGGGUCACUUGGACUAAUGGGAUGUGGAACUUCAGGGGAUUUCCAAAGGGGAUUUCCAAGCAGGGGGUUUCCACAAGGUAGGAUUGACAGGGAACACACUGGAGCAAGGGGCAGGUAUCCAGGUGAAUUGACACUGGGGUGGGAGGGUGUAAUUUGGACCAAACCAUCAACCUGGGCAAUAACAGAACAUACCAUUAACAAGAAACACACUGCAACAGGAAUGCCCAUUUGUCACAGUUGAGAUGGACAUGACACUUCAAGGUUCAUGCAGCAAUAGCAAUCUUUAUUGUUCACAGUUCACUUUUACAUGGUUUUCAAAAACCAUGUGUUCAAUCCCAGCUGGCUGGUAACUUGUUACACCCAGUUCACCAGCCAGUAGCUGCCUGUGUACAUGCUGCCAAAUAUUGGCCAGCAUCCAUUCCCUGCAGUUAAAUCCUUCUGCUUUUCAGUGGAAACUCUUCCUUAAAGAUGUUUUACUUCCUUUCCUCAUGGACUGGUCAAGUCAAGGUCAGGGUUACUUGUGACUGUGAGGCCUUCAGGCCAGCUGUUUGCUGUCACACCCAUUUACCCAUUUGGUCUGUCAACACACCCCAAAAAAAAGUUGUCUUAGUUUCUUACGGGUCAUUUCCAUCAGUAAGUUUGAUGAUAUGAGGCUUCUGGCUCUCUGUUUAAUAAUGUAGUGCAGAAGAUAAUACUUCAGAAUUGAUUAAAUAUCUACUUCAAACGCUAGUACAAGUGCUUUGGAUUCCAUUUAUUAUAAAUUGUUUGCAUGUUUGAAAAAGAAAUAAUUCCUUAAUGUGGAGCCAAUGCUUGCCAUAGCUCCUCUUUUUUCCCCUUGGUCCAGUUUUUAUGUGUUGCUGGAAUGUGGCAGCUCUGAUAGCAAGAGUCUCAGGAACCUGGAACUUCAGAAAUAAAUCCAAGCACUGCAUUACAGUAACUAAAUUUUGCUGCUUUUCAAAUUAUGCUGCUGGUCCUGCCUCCUAUUGUGGGAGAGAGGAAGGAGCUGGUGGAGAAGGUUUAAUUUUCACCCUGCCUUCUCAUGCAGAGGAAGGGAGGUUCACUAAGGUGAAGGGUUUGGUUUUUAGGUCUAAUGCUGUGGUUUGGCUGCAUGAACUCUAUCAAAGGAAAGAGUUUUUACCAUGAGUGCAUUGCCAAGGCUGAUACCAGGCCAUCUAUGUAUUUAAGCUUGUUUUAUUUUGUUCAGUCAAGCUGUACCUCAGAUUUCUCAAGUAUAACUCACUGGGGAAAUGUUGGCCAGGGUACCUCACUUGGUAUUUUUGUAACUGGCAGUGGGAAGACUCUAGUCUCUUACAGUGAGGGAGAUUCCACUGAGGCAGAUUUGGUAAAAGGACAUAGGAAGGCACAGAAGUGUGUAACUUUCUCAUUUACUGUUACACUGACCACAAGCCAGUCCAGGCUGAAAUUUUAACAAUUUAAAUGCAAAAUUCCUAAGGCCUUUUUCACAGGUUAUGUCAACUACAGAGCUGUCCUGUUCCCAUUGCUGUGAUGGUGACAUCAGCUUUAGGUCAGCUCGCUACCUGGUUACUCUCAUGUCCCAGAGAACCCCAUUCACAAGUUCCGUCCUUUUAGCUGAACUGUUGAAUUGAGAGAAAUCUGGACACAGAAAUAGAAGAAUGGUUCAGCUUGGUUCACCAAAUCAAUCACUUAAUCUGAGUCCACCUUUCAUUUCCUGGGCUGUUUAUGGACACCUCUGGACGUGGACACAAGUGACUUAGAGGGAUACAAACACAAUUAAUACUAUUUGAUCUACUUCAGAACCAAGUAUUUUCCUUUACCAAGUCUUUAAAGCCAUCAGACCACCUGCACAGCUUUUUACUACAGUCUGUAGAAUGCAAAAUAUGUAAGGGUCCAAGGUAUUUAGCAGAUUGUACCCCCUCAUGACCCCAGCCCUCAUCCCACUGCUUGGGCCAUCAGCUCCUCUGGGACUGAGAUCCUUGGCUCUCUAAAAGUGUGUGUGAGGAUUGCACUUCAUCAGGAUCAGGAAUCUUCUUUGGGUUUUCUCACUGGCAAGUUUAAUUGAAAAAUGGGGAAAUCAGUGGCUGAGAGUGAACUGACAGCAGAACCUAAGCCUCUGUGCAUUCAUCUGAAUUAAAUAAAAUAACUUUCACCUGAAACCAAGCAGGCAAGGCACCUGCUUCCAGCCUCACACCCACACACUCUCCUGUUCCCUGACUCACACCUCUCAGCAUUGUGCAAGCAGAUCUAUUUAUAGCCUGCUGGAAUAGCAUUGCUUAUUUUCUUGCACACACAGGCCUAAUUAACAGCUAUCACUCAAUUUAUUCUUGAUUCAGACAUAAUUAACAAUAUGCUUAAGUAAUGAUUUUGCUUAUGCCUGUUAACUGCAGCCAAACUUGUCAAACUAUUGCUCCAUUAAUUUAAUCCUUCCUUUUGAUUUAGGGAAAUUCAAUUACUGUGAAGCAGUUAGUCAUAUAGUAAAUGUUUUCAAGUUCUCUUCUGUUGCUUGGAAACUUCCUUAGUAUUUUCUAGAUUAUCAUACUGUGUUGCCAAGGGAAUUCAUAAGCAAAAAAUGAUAUCUUUAUAAAUUGUCAUGUGUACCUGACUAUUUUUUACAAGUUCUGUACAAGCAUUAGAUUC